GUGCCAGCCGCCGCGGUAAUACGGGGGGAGCAAGCGUUGUUCGGAUUUACUGGGCGUAAAGGGCGGGUAGGCGGCCACCGCAAGUCAGUUGUGAAAUCUCCGGGCUUAACCCGGAAAGGUCAACUGAUACUGCGGGGCUAGAGUGCAGAAGGGGCAACUGGAAUUCUCGGUGUAGCGGUGAAAUGCGUAGAUAUCGAGAGGAACACCUGCGGCGAAGGCGGGUUGCUGGGCUGACACUGACGCUGAACUGCGAAAGCUAGGGGAGCGAACGGGAUUAGAUACCCCAGUAGUCC
rnacentral:rRNA from 1 species